rnacentral:rRNA from 1 species
AUUGAACGCUGGCGGCAUGCCUUACACAUGCAAGUCGAACGGCAGCACGGGUGCUUGCACCUGGUGGCGAGUGGCGAACGGGUGAGUAAUACAUCGGAACAUGUCCUGUAGUGGGGGAUAGCCCGGCGAAAGCCGGGUUAAUACCGCAUACGAUCUACGGAUGAAAGCGGGGGACCUUCGGGCCUCGCGCUAUAGGGUUGGCCGAUGGCUGAUUAGCUAGUUGGUGGGGUAAAGGCCUACCAAGGCGACGAUCAGUAGCUGGUCUGAGAGGACGACCAGCCACACUGGGACUGAGACACGGCCCAGACUCCUACGGGAGGCAGCAGUGGGGAAUUUUGGACAAUGGGCGAAAGCCUGAUCCAGCAAUGCCGCGUGUGUGAAGAAGGCCUUCGGGUUGUAAAGCACUUUUGUCCGGAAAGAAAUCCUUGGCUCUAAUACAGUCGGGGGAUGACGGUACCGGAAGAAUAAGCACCGGCUAACUACGUG